ACGGGUGCGUAACGCGUGGGAAUCUGCCCUUAGGUUCGGAAUAACAGCUGGAAACGGCUGCUAAUACCGGAUGAUGACGAAAGUCCAAAGAUUUAUUGCCUGAGGAUGAGCCCGCGUUGGAUUAGGUAGUUGGUGGGGUAAAGGCCUACCAAGCCGACGAUCCAUAGCUGGUCUGAGAGGAUGAUCAGCCACACUGGGACUGAGACACGGCCCAGACUCCUACGGGAGGCAGCAGUGGGGAAUAUUGGACAAUGGGCGAAAGCCUGACCCAGCAAUGCCGCGUGAGUGAUGAAGGCCCUAGGGUUGUAAAGCUCUUUUACCCGGGAAGAUAAUGACUGUACCGGGAGAAUAAGCCCUGGCUAACUCCGUGCCAGCAGCCGCGGUAAUACGGAGGGGGCUAGCGUUGUUCGGAAUUACUGGGCGUAAAGCGCACGUAGGCGGCUUUGUAAGCCAGAGGUGAAAGCCUGGAGCUCAACUCCAGAACUGCCUUUGAGACUGCAUCGCUUGAAUCCAGGAGAGGUCAGUGGAAUUCCGAGUGUAGAGGUGAAAUUCGUAGA
rnacentral:rRNA from 1 species